UACAGAGGGUGCAAGCGUUAAUCGGAAUUACUGGGCGUAAAGCGUGCGUAGACGGUUACAUAAGUCGGGUGUGAAAGCCCCGGGCUCAACCUGGGAAUUGCAUUCGAGACUGCGUAGCUAGGGUGCGGAAGAGGGAAGCGGAAUUUCCGGUGUAGCGGUGAAAUGCGUAGAUAUCGGAAGGAACACCAGUGGCGAAAGCGGCUUCCUGGUCCAGCACCGGCGUUCAGGCACGAAAGCGUGGGGAGCAAACAGG
rnacentral:rRNA from 1 species